UCAUCAAUAUUGUUUGGCAAUGAUAAAGGGGAAGCAGCUGAUGGAAACCCUACCCAUUGAAGAUCACAAGGAGCCUAGAGAAGCUCAGGGUGAACCAGUUAAGCAGCUUGUCACAAUUCUACUCGAUAAUGAUCUAAGCAGAACUGUUCAACUCGGAGCACAACUGAAGUCGGAUCUUCACGAUUGGCUAAUGGUGUUCUUACGAGUCCAUGCAGAUGUCUUCGUCUAAUCAGCAUCAGAUAUACCAGGUACAUCUUCUGAUGUUAUUGUUCACAUGUUGAACAUACACUCAAACCAUCGGCCCAUCCCACA
rnacentral:lncRNA from 1 species